UCUUUCAGUUUGUUAAUAUGGUGGAUCACAUUGAUGGACUUCCGUAUAUUGAACCACCUCUGCAUACCUGGGAUGAUGCCUACUUAGUAAUGGUGGAUGAUAUCUUUGAUGUGUUCUUGUAUUCAGUUUGAGAAAUAAAGGUCUCAGAGUGCGAUUUUGGAGGCUCCAGUGAUGCAUCUCUGGUUGAACCCUCGAUGACUGUGGUCUACUCUUUGCUGCAUAAUAUUAUUGGGAGUAUGAGAGAAUGGAUAUCAGAAUUGUUUUUAAAAGUUCAUUCUUGUAAAGAUCAUCAGCUGGUGCUGCUGUCCCAGUGUGGCACCACAGAUGUUAGCUGGUAACACUUCAACCUCAUCUUUCCUAUUGUCAUUUCAAGGCAUAUUUCCAGGCCAUCUCAAGGCUUUAAUGUUUGGCAUUUCAAAAGAAGCAUUCUCCUAUUUUGUACUCAUCUUGAGCCCUUUAGAGAACAACCAGUCCCAUACUUCAUUUAACAGAGCUAGAACUUUGGACUGAAAGGUUGUUGAGCUUGUGAAGUUCAGACCAGGGCUAUGUGCUUUAGUUCCUUAUGACAUUUUUCUUUCCUACCAGGUCACAUGGUCAAAUCUCUGUCAAAUAUACUCAUUCUCUCAUGACUUCAUGUUAUUUUAUUUCAUUAUGCAUUGA